rnacentral:rRNA from 1 species
AGCGGGACAUUUGAGGAUGGGGUGACUGCGUACCUUUUGUAUAAUGGGUCAGCGACUUAUAUUCUGUAGCAAGGUUAACCGAAUAGGGGAGCCGUAGGGAAACCGAGUCUUAACUGGGCGAAUAAGUUGCAGGGUAUAGACCCGAAACCCGGUGAUCUAGCCAUGGGCAGGUUGAAGGUUGGGUAACACUAACUGGAGGACCGAACCGACUAAUGUUGAAAAAUUAGCGGAUGACUUGUGGCUGGGGGUGAAAGGCCAAUCAAACCGGGAGAUAGCUGGUUCUCCCCGAAAGCUAUUUAGGUAGCGCCUCGUGAACUCAUCUUCGGGGGUAGAGCACUGUUUCGACUAGGGGGUCAUCCCGACUUACCAACUCGAUGCAAACUACGAAUACCGAAGAAUGUUAUCACGGGAGACACACGGCGGGUGCUAACGUUCGUCGUGAAGAGGGAAACAACCCAGACCGCCAGCUAAGGUCCCAAAGUCAUAGUUAAGUGGGAAACGAAGUGGGAAGGCUCAGACAGCCAGGAUGUUGGCUUAGAAGCAGCCAUCAUUUAAAGAAAGCGUAAUAGCUCACUGGUCGAGUCGGCCUGCGCGGAAGAUGUAACGGGGCUAAACUAUGCACCGAAGCUGCGGCAGCGAUAUGUAAAUAUUGUUGGGUAGGGGAGCGUUCUGUAA